AGAACGACUCUCGGCAACGGAUAUCUCGGCUCUCGCAUCGAUGAAGAACGUAGCGAAAUGCGAUACUUGGUGUGAAUUGCAGAAUCCCGUGAACCAUCGAGUCUUUGAACGCAAGUUGCGCCCCAAGCCGUUAGGCAGAGGGCACGUCUGCCUGGGUGUCACGC
rnacentral:rRNA from 1 species